rnacentral:rRNA from 1 species
GACCGGCGCACGGGUGCGCACCGCGUAUGGAACCUACCUUGUACAGGGGAAUAGCCCAGGGAAACUUGGAUUAAUGCCCCGUAGUACCACGACCUGGCAUCAGGAUGUGGUUAAAGCCUUCGGGCGGUAUAAGAUGGCCAUGCGUCCCAUUAGUUUGUUGGUAAGGUAACGGCUUACCAAGACUACGAUGGGUAGGGGCCCUGAGAGGGGGAUCCCCCACACUGGUACUGAGACACGGACCAGACUCCUACGGGAGGCAGCAGUGAGGAAUAUUGGACAAUGGAGGAGACUCUGAUCCAGCCAUGCCGCGUGCAGGAAGAAUGCCCUAUGGGUAGUAAACUGCUUUUAUACAGGAAGAAAAAUAGCUACGUGUAGCUUACUGACGGUACUGUAAGAAUAAGGACCGGCUAACUCCGUGCCAGCAGCCGCGGUAAUACGGAGGGUCCGAGCGUUAUCCGGAAUUAUUGGGUUUAAAGGGUCCGUAGGCGGGCUGAUAAGUCAGGGGUGAAAGUUUGCAGCUCAACUGUAAAAUUGCCUUUGAUACUGUUAGUCUUGAGUUAUAGUGAAGUUGCCGGAAUAUGUAGUGUAGCGGUGAAAUG